GGUGAGAAGGAUUCCUCAGGAAGACCUUAUUACUUUGCUUUUGAAAAGUUUGAGGUGCAGACAACAGGAGGGUCAAACAGUCCGGCUGGUUUUCUGAGGAUUUAGAGAUCAUUUCAGACCUGAGGAAGUGGUCUGGAAGCUGCUGUAAUUCUAUCUGUGCGGCAUCAGAAUUGCCAGAAGGAGAUUUUUAGAAUACAGCUGCCUACAGAGAGUCUGGGAACUACAGAUCUCAAAUAAAAGUAUGAACUACUUUUCUACAAAUCUACAGUUAGAAGCAAGAUAACCUACAAAAACAAUAUCCACCAGGUGAUUUCAUCAUUAGAAUGCUUAAUUAUAUUAACUUAUGUAGACACAUUGACUUAGAAGAAUUUGGAGUAUUCCAGAUGAUUUCAAUCAUAACAUAAAACAUAUUUUAAGAAAACACUGGUUAUAGAAAUCAAUCUUUUGGCUUCUUCAUUCAUAGAGUCACUCAUCACUAGCCUGGAAUACCUUUUUUUUUGUUGUUGUUGUUGGCUGUAAGCUUUGGUUUCCAAUGCUUGACCUUUCAAGAAUGACUAGAUAAUUAGAGGUAUCAUAUCCACCAAGGCCACUGUGGUUACCUCCUACCUUGCUGUUUUGGAGAGAUGUGCACAGUAUUUUUGAAGCAGAGUAUAAUUACAGAUAGACUCACAGGUAUGAGUGAAAAAGAAGAAUGCAAUCUUUCUCACUCUGUACAUGUAUCAUGUUCCCUCACACAUCUGGACCACCCAUAACACUUAUUUUGCAAGCUGUUGAAGUCUAGCCUGGACUCAUGAGCUGGUUGUUGUUCCUUUGUCCUAGUAAUGCCUUGGUUCCAUCCCAGUGAUAUUUCAAAGCUUGUAUUUCUGAGGGUGGAAAAAUACAAAUUAAAUGGAAGAAUAAACAAUGCUGUUUUAACAACGAAAGUUUUGGAGGGCUUUUUUAAUACCAUAACAACAAAUGUUGGUAGAUUAGACAUAGUAAUUGAGGUAUACAAAUGGACUGAAUAAAUCAGAAGCUUAAGCAUGACAGAGAUCUGGAAUUUAUCUAACUCAGAGAUGCAAAAACGGUCUGGAAUUUACAUUCCAAGUAUGGAAGCAGGAUGAGUAACCAUCUCAACAGAGUAAAAAACAAGGAAAAGGUCUAUAUGGAAUGGAGAACGGAAAUUAUUGAAGCAAGCUGUUAAUUGGAGAUUUGGAGGCAAAGGACUCAACGAUGAUUAGCCAAACCUAGACUUUGCUAGAUCUUGCAAAGAUUAAACCAAAAAGCAAAAGACUAGUGGUUUAGGUAGCACAUUGCAACUAGCACAAAAGGAA